CGAAGCCGCGAGGUGGAGCGAAUCCCAAAAAGACCGGUCUAAGUUCGGAUUGCAGGCUGCAACCCGCCUGACAUGAAGUCGGAAUCGCUAGUAAUCGCGAGUCAGCAUAUCGCGGUGAAUACGUUCCCGGGUCUUGUACACACCGCCCGUCACACCAUGGGAGUUGGCAACACCCGAAGUCGAUGAGCUAACCGCAAGGAGGCAGUCGCCUAAGGUGGGGUUGAUAACUGGGGUGAAGUCGUAACAAGGUAUC
rnacentral:rRNA from 1 species